rnacentral:rRNA from 1 species
GUUACGCUGGCCGCGUGCCUAAUCAUGCAAGUCGCGCGAAUGGAUUAAGAGCUUGCUCUUAUGAAGUUAGCGGCGGACGGGUGAGUAACACGUGGGUAACCUGCCCAUAAGACUGGGAUAACUCCGGGAAACCGGGGCUAAUACCGGAUAACAUUUUGAACCGCAUGGUUCGAAAUUGAAAGGCGGCUUCGGCUGUCACUUAUGGAUGGACCCGCGUCGCAUUAGCUAGUUGGUGAGGUAACGGCUCACCAAGGCAACGAUGCGUAGCCGACCUGAGAGGGUGAUCGGCCACACUGGGACUGAGACACGGCCCAGACUCCUACGGGAGGCAGCAGUAGGGAAUCUUCCGCAAUGGACGAAAGUCUGACGGAGCAACGCCGCGUGAGUGAUGAAGGCUUUCGGGUCGUAAAACUCUGUUGUUAGGGAAGAACAAGUGCUAGUUGAAUAAAGCUGGCACCUUGACGGUACCUAACCAGAAAGCCACGGCUAACUACGUGCCAGCAGCCG